GACGAACCGUGCGAACGUUGUUCGGAAUCACUGGGCUUAAAGGGCGCGUAGGCGGGCCUUCAAGUCCGGGGUGAAAUCCUCCAGCCUAACUGGAGAAGAGCCUCGGAGACUGAGGGCCUCGAGGAGGGUAGGGGCAAGCGGAACUAUGGGUGGAGCGGUGAAAUGCAUUGAUAUCCAUAGGAACGCCGGUGGCGAAGGCGGCUUGCUGGACCCUUUCUGACGCUGAGGCGCGAAAGCCAGGGGAGCAAACGGG
rnacentral:rRNA from 1 species